GAUCACAGGCAUGUUCUCAUUUUAAGUAAUGUCCUUUUGAGUCCACCACAAGGGCGUGAAUUCCUCUGCGUCUGGGUCUGCUAAGCAGUCACACCCUUGACUUAGGUCUCGCCAGGCCCGGCCCUGACCGGCCACAGGAGGGCAGAAAGGUGCUCCUGGGUCUCUGGGAGAAAUCAGGAGCGGACAUCGGGUUCCUGAGCCUCGGCGCUGAGGACAGCUAAGCCUCGUGCACAGGUCAGUGCC
rnacentral:lncRNA from 1 species